GACGAACGCUGGCGGCGUGCCUAAUACAUGCAAGUUGAGCGCUGAAGGUUGGUACUUGUACCAACUGGAUGAGCAGCGAACGGGUGAGUAACGCGUGGGGAAUCUGCCUUUGAGCGGGGACAACAUUUGGAAACGAAUGCUAAUACCGCAUAAAAACUUUAAACACAAGUUUUAAGUUUGAAAGAUGCAAUUGCAUCACUCAAAGAUGAUCCCGCGUUGUAUUAGCUAGUUGGUGAGGUAAAGGCUCACCAAGGCGAUGAUACAUAGCCGACCUGAGAGGGUGAUCGGCCACAGUGGGACUGAGACACGGCCCAAACUCCUACGGGAGGCAGCAGUAGGGAAUCUUCGGCAAUGGACGAAAGUCUGACCGAGCAACGCCGCGUGAGUGAAGAAGGUUUUCGGAUCGUAAAACUCUGUUGGUAGAGAAGAACGUUGGUGAGAGUGGAAAGCUCAUCAAGUGACGGUAACUACCCAGAAAGGGACGGCUAACUACGUG
rnacentral:rRNA from 1 species